GUACACUCCUACGGGAGGCAGCAGUGGGGAAUUUUGGACAAUGGGCGAAAGCCUGAUCCAGCCAUGCCGCGUGCAGGAUGAAGGCCUUCGGGUUGUAAACUGCUUUUGUACGGAACGAAACGGCCUUUUCUAAUAAAGAGGGCUAAUGACGGUACCGUAAGAAUAAGCACCGGCUAACUACGUGCCAGCAGCCGCGGUAAUACGUAGGGUGCAAGCGUUAAUCGGAAUUACUGGGCGUAAAGCGUGCGCAGGCGGUUAUGUAAGACAGUUGUGAAAUCCCCGGGCUCAACCUGGGAACUGCAUCUGUGACUGCAUAGCUAGAGUACGGUAGAGGGGGAUGGAAUUCCGCGUGUAGAAGUGAAAUGCGUAGAUAUGCGGAGGAACACCGAUGGCGAAGGCAAUCCCCUGGACCUGUACUGACGCUCAUGCACGAAAGCGUGGGGAGCAAACAGGAUUAGAUACCCGUGUAGUCCCA
rnacentral:rRNA from 1 species